rnacentral:hammerhead_ribozyme from 1 species
AUCCAACUGAAGAGUCCGAAAUAAGACUAAACAGUUGUCCUGAAU